UUAAGAUUGGUGUGCUUGCUUUGACAUAUUUCAUUUGAGGAUUCCAAGGCCUCAAGAUCAGAUUGGUGCAAGAACAUUAUUUCUUUGAGAGUGAUCUCUUUUUUUUCAGCCUCAUUUCACUUCGGCAGUUUCAUUGCCAAGCUCACUGUUUUUGCUAAUUUUGUUUCUUAACUUGUUUGCUGUUUUUGUGUGUUUGCUGUUUUUUUAUUUGCAAAAUGGCUGGCUAUUCAAGUGGUGCAUCUUACAAACAGCAUUCUCCUUCNN
rnacentral:lncRNA from 1 species